UACGGAGGGUGCAAGCGUUAAUCGGAAUUACUGGGCGUAAAGCGAGUGUAGGUGGCCGCAUAAGUCGGAUGUGAAAGCCCUGGGCUUAACCUGGGAAUGGCAUUCGAUACUGUGUGGCUAGAGUCUGAUAGAGGGAAGUGGAAUUCCAGGUGUAGCGGUGAAAUGCGUAGAUAUCUGGAGGAACAUCAGUGGCGAAGGCGGCUUCCUGGAUCAAGACUGACACUGAGGCUCGAAAGCGUGGGGAGCAAACAGGAUUAGAUACCCUGGUAGUCCACGCCCUAAACUAUGUCAACUAGACGUUGGGUUCUUUAAUGAACUUAGUGUCGAAGCUAACGCGUUAAGUUGACCGCCUGGGGAGUACGGCCGCAAGGUUG
rnacentral:rRNA from 1 species